rnacentral:lncRNA from 1 species
UCCAUAUUAUAACCACUUGAAAAUUCAAUACAGAUAGGAGUGUGUGUCUCCUGUCCCCAAAAUGAUAAAUAUCCACCUCAAAGACCAGGAAAGGGAACUACUUGUGAAUGAUAUAUCUGAAGUAUGGUAUUCUCGUUACUGUGCACACUAACUGCAUCAGCUAGAUGACAGCACUUAGAGGAUAAGUAAGCCAACAUUAAAUGAAACUUCAUUACAUUACAUUAAAUGUAAAUGUGAUUUGGUAAACUUGAAUCUUUGGGAUGCAAUAGAGUUAGAACAGUUUGUUUUUAAUGAAUAGGUUUCAGUUAUCUUCUAAAUCCCAGAGAAUUCAAACUGUGACUAUCUAAAAUCUGAUUUCAAUAAACUUUCUUGAAAAGAACUUAAGAGUUAAAUUUCUAGUGCUACAUAUUUUUCUGUGAAUUGAAAAAUGUUUUAUAUUCUAGAGAUUUAGGGAUUUUGACAAAAUAUUGAUGUUUGAGAUACUUUUAAACUAUUUAUAUACCUCCAUUUGGUUCUGAUACUGUUUAAUAAUAGAAUAUUAAGGUUUCACCAUAUUCACUGGAAGUUGUAAGUUAAUACUUUCAUUGCUUGCUGAGGGUGGUUUUUUGUUUUUUUGUUUUUUUUUUUAUCCUUCUGGAAUCUUGUAAGGGGAAUUUGGCUAUAAACUACCAAAAUUGGCAAAAUAAAAGGUACAUGAUCAAUUUAUUUAGGUGAAUGAAUUACUUUCCCUAGAGCUUUAUUUCAAGAUGUAAUAAUUCAAAAUCUAGUAACUAUUUUUGGCCCUUAGGUUUGGAUGGUGAGAACCAUCUAUUAGUUUCAAUUUUUUUAAAGAUUUUAUUUAUUUAUUUAUUUAUUUAUUUAUUUAUUUGAGAGAGAGAGAGAGAGAGAGAGGGAGAAGCAGGCUCCGUGCAGGGAGCCUGAUGUGGGACUUGAUGCUAGGACUCCAGGAUCACGCUCUGAGCCAAAGGCAGGCGCUAAACCUCUGAGCCACCUGGGAAUUCCCUCCAUUUGUUUUAAAAUAGAUUACUAAAGGGGAGAUAUUUAGUACUUUAUAAUAGAAAUAUAGACAGAAUUGUCUCAGAGAAGAGGUAUAUAGACAUGCUUAUAUCUUUUCCCACUUGUUCUGACAUAGCAGGUUAGAAAUAUGUGAAGCAGUUAAUUUAGCAUCUAUAAGCCCAGUUAUACUUCAGUGCAGGUGGGAACUAUUGCCUUGUUUAAUUAACCCCUGGUGAACAGGACAUCUGUUCCCUACCUAAUCUCUAAUGCACAACUGAUCUAGAUACUCUAUGCAACAGAAGUUAUAUAUAAUUUUUGAAGUUAGAUUGGUAUGACUGAGUUACCUUUAGGAUCUGUUACAAGCAAAUGCUCAGUUGACUCCCUAGCUCAUCUACUGAGUGAUUUGCUAUAGCACUGAAAAAAGAACAAAAGUUUGAUAAGAGUUUCAUGCUAUCAUAUAACAGAUGAGCUAAAGACUGAAAAAAAAAGAGUAACAUUUUACAUUAGCUACGUAGGUGAUGAUAGUUUUAAGACUGUAAAUAUACAUUUCUAGGGUUACAUUUUAAGUCACACAGAUACUUAUCUAGUACAUAGUAUUUGCAGAGCAUGCUUACUGGGUAUAGAUUAGUGUGAAUUAGUAGAUACACACUUUGUCCACAAAUAUCUUGAUUGGAUGAGGAAAUUGUAUGCUCAAAGGAUAAGCUGUCCUGCACAAUCUCUAGGCUGGGAGAAUAUGAAUAAUGACUGACUGCUUCCAUCUCUCUCUUCCUUCAUUCCUCCCUAUGCCCUACCCCUACCUCCUUGUGUUCAUUGUACCAGGCUCUUGGACUAAACCUGUUAGCUCAUCAUCUAAUGCCCAGGUUUCUCUCUUUCCAGAAACCCUUCUUCCCUUUCUUCUUUUUCUGUUCCCUAUGCUUUAAAAAAGCAGGCCAGGAAUAAUGAAAAUAAUAAAGAGAAGUAACAAAUGUUCCAAAAAUUUUCAAAAUCCUUACAAAUUCCUUAUAAAAGAGUAAUUAGAAAUCUUAUUGAAUGACUGCUCCUUAUUUAUAUUUCUGAGUGAGGGGACUAAAUAGCUAUUACUUCCUUUCUCCUAAUCUAGGGAAUACCACUGGGGAUUCAGGGAGUGGUGGAAGAAAUGAGCUUUCUCUUGAACAUAGAAUUAAGUGAAGUAGUAGAGGUCCCUUUCCAUUAAGAGGAUAGUUUUCCUUUCUGAGGACUUCUUUACCAGGUGACUUCUGUUCCUUUGCUUCGCAUGGGAUUAGCAACUUUAAGAACUCCCUCACAAGACCUUCUUGUCAGAUUAUAUUAGUACCUUUGCCUUAUUCAAUGGGCUUGACUCAAAAUAGUUUUGUGUGUUUUUAAAACUAAAUCCUAAAUCCCUAUUUACAAGAUAGAGAUUCAUUACAAAAGUUUAAAUAAAAAAAGUGAUAGGACUUAAAAAAAUAUUCUCUGAGUUCUGAAGGCAUUCUAGGAGAGUAGUUCUGUAUAACAUUUUGCUAUAUCAAGGUCAUUGGAGGGAAUACAGCCUUCUAAGCCGAAUAAUGAGAGAGGUAGCACUCCCAAGGCAUGCCUUCCGUAUGCUUGUCAAGCAAAAAAGACAGUUUCAGAUGAUGACAGAAGUCCAGAAUGUUCUCUCUUAAAGAUGGCAUCUAUGUAAAUUAGACUUGACUGUGUCUAUUCAUUUAAUUACAUAAAGACUAAAGAGGUUUUCUCUACAUUAGAUUUUUAGCUUAAAAUGGUCUGACUUAAAAUACUGCAUAGAUAUACAGGGAAUUCACUCUGGCCAACAUUGGGGCAGGAGCACCCCAGAGAUAGGCAGACAUUGUCCAGAUGGAUCAUGAUUGUCUGGCUUCACUUAUGUACAGCUUCAUGUUGUGUUCCAGGGUGAUUUGUAUUUUUAAGAGUGGCUAAUGCUUUCCAGAGCAAUGUGGGAAGAUCACUUUAGAAGACUCCAAAACUUAGUACAGUGCUAGUUCACUUCAAUUUACCUGCUCCUUAAAAAAAAAAAAAAGGAUUAAUAAUUCUAAUCAACUUUGGUUAUUAUGUAAUUAUUCAUUUGGAGUGAAUGACUUAACCAGAUAAAUAAAAUAACUAGUCAAUUCUGUCAUAUAAAUUAUUAUUUUUUUAGUGCGCUAAAGCAUAAAUCAGAAUACUUGCAUUUUUAUUCCUAACUCUCCUUCCAUUAAUCUGGGCCACUUUGAUAUUUUUCUGAAAUGAGAUGGAAUAUAAAUAAGAAAAAAUAUUUCUUGCCUGCUUGGGAUAUUAAAUCCCUUGAAACUCAGUUUUAUCAUUUACAAAGUGAGAAUAGUAUCUACCCACCCUGUCCCCUGGAAUUGUGAUGUGCAUGUGAUCAAGUAACAAAUGCUCUGUAAACUGUAAAAUACAAACUGUAUGGCACCAUGGUCAUCACAGUAUUAUUGCCUUUGCUGUGUUGCACAAGAAACAGACGGUGGGAUUAAUGUACAGUUUGCUGUGGAGUUCUCUUAGCAACAGGUCCUGUGAGAAUGAAGAAGCCAGAACUGAGCAGGGAAAGAAAUUGAACAAUGAUGCAGUUUCAAAUAAUUGUAGCAAAGGCUUCAGCCAAUCACAGGGGAGCAUUGAAUGCUCUUUUAAUGUUGGUCUGAAAUGAGGCAAGGGGGCCAGAUUCUGUAUCCCUAAACCCACUUGACAUUCAAUGUGGGCUGUCCUUGGGUAUGGAUAAUCUUGGAUGAAGCAGUUUCUAUAAAUAAUUUUAAGUCCCUAGAGAAGGACUCUG